GCAGCACGGGGGCAACCCUGGUGGCGAGUGGCGAACGGGUGAGUAAUACAUCGGAACGUAUCCUGUAGCGGGGGAUAACCUCUCGAAAGAGAGGCUAAUACCGCAUACGACCUACGGGUGAAAGAGGGGGAUCGCAAGACCUCUCACUAUUGGAGCGGCCGAUGUCGGAUUAGCUAGUUGGUGGGGUAAAAGCCUACCAAGGCUACGAUCCGUAGCUGGUCUGAGAGGACGACCAGCCACACUGGAACUGAGACACGGUCCAGACUCCUACGGGAGGCAGCAGUGGGGAAUUUUGGACAAUGGGCGCAAGCCUGAUCCAGCCAUGCCGCGUGAGUGAAGAAGGCCUUCGGGUUGUAAAGCUCUUUCGGUCGGGAAGAAAAGGUUCGCGCUAACACCGCGGACUCAUGACGGUACCGGCAUAAGAAGCACCGGCUAACUACGUGCCAGCAGCCGCGGUAAUACGUAGGGUGCAGGCGUUAAUCGGAAUUACUGGGCGUAAAGCGUGCGCAGGCGGUUUGCUAAGAGAGAUGUGAAAUCCCCGGGCUUAACCUGGGAACUGCGUUUCUAACUGGCAGGCUUGAGUGUGGCAGAGGGGGGUGGAAUUCCACGUGUAGCAGUGAAAUGCGUAGAGAUGUGGAGGAACACCGAUGGCGAAGGCAGCCCCCUGGGCUAACACUGACGCUCAUGCACGAAAGCGUGGGGAGCAAACAGGAUUAGA
rnacentral:rRNA from 1 species